UGGGCCGGUAUUCGUCUGGUGUGUGCGCUCGGCCUUUCUCUCUCGGGCUUGGGCUAUUCGUAUUAGCAUCAAGCGGUGGCAAGCAGGCUUCAUGGGCCGUUGGAGUUUCCUUAAGGGCUUCUUCUUCUGCUGCUUGGCCGGCGGGGCUGAGCGCCUAGGAUGGGAUAUUACGUUUUUUUUUGUUUGAGACCUUGGGAUGGGCCGAUUUGGCUUCACGGAGCUUUCGCUCGUCCGGUACUUGAGCUCGAUGAGCUUUCCCUCCCCUCAUUUUUUUACAGCCUCUCCCUCCACUCUCCCUUCCCUCAAGUUUUAUUUCUUUUUGACAACCUCUCCCUCCCCUUCCUCAAGUUUAUUGUGUUUUGAAUUAAGAACAAAACCACUACGUGAGUCUCGAAGAAAAAAGAUGUUACGAAUGGUUGUUGUGUGAUCUAUCGAGCAUCUAUUGGUCGCACAAUUCUUGUUUACAUCGCGUGAGAAGAAUGCUGCAUAGAUUUUUAUCUUCGUCUGGAAAAGAAAAGGUGAACAAAAAACUAGUGCUUCAGGUUUAGCUCUUUUCCCAGUUGGUUAGGUCGGCGAUUGAGACUUGUUAAAUGCUAGUACUGCUACCAGUAGGGUUUCCUAAAAGCAAGUCGUUAAAUUAUAGUUAAAGAUUGAACCAGUUCGAGUCGGACACCCCGCCACUUCCACCAUGUCGGCCUCUAGUCACCGUAAACAACACUUGAACCAUUUUCUUUCCCAAUGAGAACCAAGACUUUUUCCC
rnacentral:lncRNA from 1 species